GAUUGCUUGCUCUAUGUGCAUUUGCUUGCCUAUAUGUUAUGCAUUUAUCACCAUCAAUUGUCAUUAAUGCAUGAGCAUCUCUUUUGUCUGUUUGACAUCAUUAUUGUUGUUUACCCAUUAAGGACAAUUGUAAGUCCCACAAGUUGGCAUUUGUUCCUAUGAUAUGGAAGUGAGUAUAAGUCCAUCACAUUGGCCACUCAUCUUAUCUUUGCUUGUUGUAUAGUUUGUAUGUGAGGAUAC
rnacentral:lncRNA from 1 species